UACGUAGGCAGCAAGCGUUGUUCGGAGUUACUGGGCGUAAAGGGUGUGUAGGCGGUUCCUUAAGUUUGCCGUGAAAUCUCCCGGCUUAACCGGGAGGGUGCGGUGAAUACUGAGGGACUAGAGUACGGGAGAGGAAAGUGGAAUUCCUGGUGUAGCGGUGAAAUGCGUAGAUAUCAGGAGGAACACCGGUGGUGUAGACGGCUUUCUGGACCGUAACUGACGCUGAGACACGAAAGCGUGGGUAGCAAACAGG
rnacentral:rRNA from 1 species